UACGUAGGGAGCAAGCGUUGUCCGGAAUCAUUGGGCGUAAAGCGCGCGUAGGUGGCCUUAUAAGUCCGCUGUGAAAGUCAAAGGCUCAACCUUUGAAAGCCGGUGGAUACGUGUGGGGCUAGAGUGACGGAAGAGGCGAGUGGAAUUCCUGGUGUAGCGGUGGAAUGCGCAGAUAGUCAGGAGGAACACCAAUAGCGAAGGCAGCUCGCUGGGACGUUACUGGACACUGAGGCGCGAAAGCGUGGGGAGCGAACAGG
rnacentral:rRNA from 1 species